ACAACGAACUGCAAGAAGUCAGCAGAGGUCAUAGUACCGAAAAGUAAUUUUCGGGAAGGAC
rnacentral:ncRNA from 1 species